AAUUGUUGCCCAGAAUAUCUGGGACGAGCAUGAUAACAUGUGCACAGUAUAGCUCGGACUUGUUAAUCUCCUAAUGUUGGCUCUCCCAAUGCCUUCCAUUCUCACACACUCUUCUAUAUGUUUUCUUGGGUAGAUAGC
rnacentral:pre_miRNA from 1 species